rnacentral:rRNA from 1 species
GUCUACGGCCAUGCUACCCUGAACAAGCCCGAUCUCGUCUGAUCUUGGAAGCUAAGCAGGGUUGAGCUUGGUUAGUACUUGAAUGGGAGACCACCUAGGAAAACCAGAUGCUGUAGACG